AUUGAACGCUGGCGGCGUGCCUAACACAUGCAAGUCGAGCGGUAACAGGUGUAGCAAUACAUGCUGACGAGCGGCGGACGGGUGAGUAACGCUUGGGGAAUCUGCCUGUUAGUGGGGGACAACCCGGGGAAACUCGGGCUAAUACCGCAUACGCACUACGGUGGAAAGCCGGGGACCGCAAGGCCUGGCGCUAACAGAUGAGCCCAAGUCGGAUUAGCUAGUUGGUAGGAACGGCCUACCAAGGCGACGAUCCGUAACUGGUCUGAGAGGACGACCAGUCACACCGGAACUGAGGCACGGUCCGGACUCCUACGGGAGGCAGCAGUGGGGAAUAUUGGACAAUGGGCGAAAGCCUGAUCCAGCGACGCCGCGUGGGUGAAGAAGGCCU
rnacentral:rRNA from 1 species